rnacentral:rRNA from 1 species
GAUGAACGCUAGCUACAGGCUUAACACAUGCAAGUCGAGGGGAAACGACAUCGAAAGCUUGCUUUUGAUGGGCGUCGACCGGCGCACGGGUGAGUAACGCGUAUCCAACCUGCCCACCACUUGGGGAUAACCUUGCGAAAGUAAGACUAAUACCCAAUGAUAUCUCUAGAAGACAUAUGAAAGGGAUUAAAGAUUUAUCGGUGAUGGAUGGGGAUGCGUCUGAUUAGCUUGUUGGCGGGGUAACGGCCCACCAAGGCGACGAUCAGUAGGGGUUCUGAGAGGAAGGUCCCCCACAUUGGAACUGAGACACGGUCCAAACUCCUACGGGAGGCAGCAGGGAGGAAUAUUGGUCAAUGGGCGAGAGCCUGAACCAGCCAAGUAGCGUGCAGGAUGACGGCCCUAUGGGUUGUAAACUGCUUUUAUAAGGGAAUAAAGUGGGAGUCGUGACUCUUUUUGCAUGUACCUUAUGAAUAAGGACCGGCUAAUUCCGUGCCAGCAGCCGCCGUAA